CAAACGCUUGAAACCUGAAGUCGAACAGAAGCAGCUCGAGGCCUUCAAGAAACACAUGGAGGCAGGAGAGACAAACACCCCUGCUAUCAUUAUGGGAGAGGAGAAUGAAGACGACACAGAGAACGGAGAAAAAGAGGCAGAGGAUAAGGAUUUGAAUUCAGAGGCCCCCAGCAGUGUUUCUGAAGCAACCAGCGAGAAAGAAUCCAACAGUGUUUCUCAGAGUAACGCUGUCAGCUCAAGGAAAGAUGACGAGCAAAGCAACAGUAUUAAG